rnacentral:tRNA from 1 species
AAGGUUAUAGCUUAAUGGUAGAGCUAGCUGCUCAUGACAGCUCAAGUGAGUGUUCAAAUCAUUCUAGCCUUA